GCACUCCAGGUAUGUGACUCCUUUACCAAUAUGGAGCAGCAGCUGGAGUCCAGAUGGGAGAACUGAGCACUUCCAAUAGUGCUGGACUCCUACAACUAGAUCAAGCCUCUGAACGCUGGUAGUUUAAUCUGAGGCUUUCCAUUUUAAAGCAACUCUGAAAUUCUAGGCAGAAGUAUUUCUUCAAAUGUUACCAUAAACGUGAAAAAGGAAGGCACAAGACUAUAUUUAGGAAAGAAACAAUGCUUAAAAACAGCACUAUGCAACAUCUUGAAGGUUAUCUGAAGUAGGGCAUAGAGCAGUGCUAGCACACUGACUACAGAAGGCGCUGCAGAAGACAAGGCCCUUCUCAUGAAGCUUUACUUCCUGCCUGCAGGAACUACUGAGGUGAUAAACCUGUUCAUUGCAAGCACACAGGCAGCAUAAAACUAGCAUUCAGAGUGGGCAACAGAAUCAGCUGAAGGAGUAACCGGACAGAAUUUCUGGAAGUAAAACAAAAUCAGAUGAGCAAAAAGAAAGCUGGGGCAGGCUGAGGCCUGGAAUGGACAGGAUAUAUAUUUAUGAUAGACAUCUGGCAAACGGAUAAUAGUGAUAUCUUAUCAAGAAGUCAAAAAUAAACUUAAAUUCUGGUAAAAAAAAAAGGCACUUGGGCUAAGAUGCUCAAAUGUGCUGUCCAGGAAAGCAAGGAAGGUGUCAGAGAGCUGGGCUUUGUGCAAAGAGAAAGAUGAGAAAGAGCUACUAUUUUUGGAAGAAUGCUUCAGUCCUUACCUGCAGAGUUGUGUCAGGCAGUAUGAGGAUGACGGAAAACAAGAUGAGUACAGUCUUCUGUUGCUUUAAUAACAAAUAUAAAAAAAAACAAACAUAUAAACUAAAAACCUGAGUGCUGCUCAUGUCCAACACCCAAGAGACAAAGCAGCAGGCUUACCACAGCUUGAAGAGCUCACUCUCCACUAAAAAGGUUUAUAAAAGCAAAGGUAAUGUAACAAACAGCAGAAAUAACAAUGGAUUUUUCUUUCUCCAGUACUAAGUGCAAUAGCUAAACAACUCAGAAAGACAACUCGUAUUGGUAACUCUGUUCUUAUACCAGCUAACCUAAGCACUUAUCCAUGCCAUGGGUAACACUCCUAUUGCUCUAGAAGAAGACAUCACGUGAGGACUACAGGAACUAAGAACUGCCUGACUUCUGCAUCUGUCAUCCUCACAAGCUGCCUGAUUUUAAAACAUUAGCAAAAAUGGCAAGGUAACAGCUUGUGUUUGUUCUGUCAUCCCCCCACUUCAGGACCCCUGACGCACUGAGAGACAGACUGUGGGUCAGGUUCUGCUCUGCCCCAUUCUUUCUGUAGUUAUUUACACCUGUACAAACUGAGUGGAAAACAUGCAAAAUGGUACCAUUUUGUUUUGAUAGUGUUUUACCCUCACUUCACAGGGGUGAGAAUGAAUAGACAGGGUGCAAGGCAGUGGAGAAUCAGGGAUUCUGUGUAUUAAAAAACAGUGCAGACAGCCACAGAAAGUGUCAAACCCCAUACAAAAGGACUGUUCGUGCGUUCAUGCUCAGCAUCUGUGAUCUGGACAGUAUAAACAGAAGUCAGUAUCUUUGUGCUAUGGGGGGCUUAUAGGGUUUUGUUUAUAUAAUUUAAAAAUCAGCAGACCUGCAAGGCUGAAUGUUGCAGGGUGCUUUGCAAACAGCAAUCUUGCCCGUUCACAGCAUUUCAGAAGCCUCUGGAGCAUAAGCUGAGGAAUUCCCUCAUUGUUGGUAGAUGGUGAAGCCUAUUGUCAGAUGCCUGACACUGGCUCUCUGCCACAUGAUGCUGGAGCCUACAGUUUUAAUUAAAAACCCUAAAACAAUGUGAAGAAUUGCUUGUCUGAAGCUCUGAUUAGCUAGGAUGCCUGCCCUUUCCAUAUGCAGUUAGGCAAGUAAUAGCAACUAUAAAGGAAGUCCUCCUACCCUGAAGGGUUAAGAUCUGCAGCUCCAUAUGCAAGAAAGCCACCCCCCAAAAAACAGACCUUUGAUGCUUGAAGCCAAGAUACGCUAACAUAUUCUGAAAGGGUGGACUCUGCAUCAGUCCCCUAGCGAGGCAACGGAGCUAAAUUCACAGAUGUGCAAGAGUCAUGAAGAAUGAAAGAAGCAUGGUGGCUAAAAGCAAUCUGGUAGAGCUGUGACGGAAGGAGAAGGAAGGUAACAACCAGCAGAGCUGAGAGCUUCUCUUUAUCUACGUCAGCUGCCAAUGACAGCUGGUGAUUACUAAACCGGCAUUAUGGCCUUGUCCUCCCCAGCAGGAAAGGGCUUGACAGCAAAACCACAGCAGAAAUAAUGUGAGCAUGUUUUCAUAUAGGCUGCCUAGAAAACAAUUUAACUUCCACUCUGCCUAGCUAUAAUCAGCAAUGCCCCACAGGCAUCAGGGUCAAAGUGCAUCUUAAGGAGUAAUUUGAAGGAGAACGGCUGCAGAGAAUUUUCCAGACCUUUGUUCCAAGCAUGGACGAUAGGAUGCAGGAAAGCAUGAAGAUAUCUGGGUGGGAAAAGGACGAACACAUGGUAAAGGCUGGCACUGCUAGCAGAGUAAAGGUCACGUUCAGCAAUGUGCUAAGUUAACAGAACUGGAAAUAAUGGGUGAAGAAAGUCCAAAAAAAAGAGCAAGGUUCUUUUUUGCUUGAAGCACGGAGAAUGUAAUGGAGGUUAGGUGCAGGUUUUCCUCUUUAGCUAUCUGGUUUGUAAACUGAUGGCAUUUUUUGCCGUCUGGAAGAAAAACCCAUGUAUCCUGGGAUUUUAUUUUGGUCUCCCUCAUAGUGUAAGCAUGCUUGAGAACUAUUAAGUUGAACAACCACUAGUUAAGCAGUUCAAGCUGGUCUCUGACAGGUUUCCCAAGCUGCUUCUAAAUGUAUUUGGCAAAUAAAUUCCUCCUCAUCUGCUAAUUUCAGACUUUUAAAAUAAUUUAGCUCUCAAGUACAUAACAUAAAGUGAUUAUCUUGUUCUUUACAGUCUGAGGGCAGAAUCUAUUUAGAACCUGAGCAGGCUGGCUACAUGCAAGUGGAAAGCUUUAGAUAAAAUUCACUUGCCAACCCAGAGCAGUGAAACCAAAUUCCCUCUCUGCUCUCACAGGCAACUGCUAUACUACCCAACUAACAGCUGCAUCCCCAUGUACAUUCAGAAGCACACCUGAAGCUGGAUCCAAAAGCUGUGAACCGACAGGGAGAAUCUUCCCGGGUUUCACUGAAUUUGCAUCGGGCCCCAUGUGCAUAAAGCAUUAAGACUACUGAGGCUCCAUCAAAGGAGUUUCCACAGCCUGUUUUAUGUCUAACCCACAGCCACCCCCAUAACAGCUGAUCCACGCAGACAGCCUGCUCUAUUCUAUACAGGAAUGUACAUUUGCAGCUUAUACACAUGCACUCAACUCCACAAAACACUACCAAAAUAGCAGAAAAGAGAGCAAUUGGCACACUGCAGAUUGCUCCCUAAAACAAUUCUGCAAGGUGUGUUGCUGCUCUCAGUACAGAGCAGAGAGUAUCAUCUCCCCAAACGGCAACGCCUUUACCAGGUUUAAAAAAGGAACGUCUGCAUUACAGCAAAAAACACCCAGACAACAGAAAAAUCACCUAAAGCUUUCCCAUGACAUUUGUUUUUCCUUGAUGGAAUCUAUACAAACGCUAUUGAAAUCAAAGUAGAAGUUCACAUAAAAAAAAAAAAACAAAACCAUCGAAUCACAGCAUGCCUACUCUGCACUAAAUAAUUUGUGUCUGCAAACAGACCCAAAUACCCCAAAAUAUUCAUCUGCACUUUAACAUUAGAUAUGUCUUUAAAGUGAUGCUGGAUACUACUGAAAACAUCCUGUACCCCAAACGAUACUAAACAGAUACAGGAAGAAUGAUUU